rnacentral:rRNA from 1 species
GACGAACGCUGGCGGCGUGCCUAAUACACGCAAGUUGAGCGCUGAAGGUUGGUACUUGUACCAACUGGAUGAGCAGCGAACGGGUGAGUAACGCGUGGGGAAUCUGCCUUUGAGCGGGGGACAACAUUUGGAAACGAAUGCUAAUACCGCAUAAAAACUUUAAACACAAGUUUUAAGUUUGAAAGAUGCAAUUGCAUCACUCAAAGAUGAUCCCGCGUUGUAUUAGCUAGUUGGUGAGGUAAAGGCUCAACAAGGCGAUGAUACAUAGCCGACCUGAGAGGGUGAACGGCCACAUUGGGAAUGAGACACGGCCCAAAAUCCUACGGGGAGCAGCAGUAGGGAAUCCUCGGGAAUGGACGAAAGUCUGAACGAGCCACGGCGCGUGAGUGAAGAAGGGUCUCCGAUCGUAAAAAUCUGUUGGUAGGGAAGAAAGUUGGUGAGAGGGGAAAGCUCAUCAAGUGACGGUAACUACUCAGAAAGGGACGGCUAACUACGUG